AACGAACGCUGGCGGCAGGCCUAACACAUGCAAGUCGAACGAGAAGCCACCUUCGGGUGGUGGACAGUGGCAGACGGGUGAGUAACGCGUGGGAACGUGCCUUUCGGUUCGGGAUAACCCAGGGAAACUUGGGCUAAUACCGGAUACGCCCUUCGGGGGAAAGAUUCAUUGCCGAAAGAUCGGCCCGCGUCGGAUUAGCUAGUUGGUGGGGUAAAAGCCUACCAAGGCGACGAUCCGUAGCUGGUCUGAGAGGAUGACCAGCCACACUGGGACUGAGACACGGCCCAGACUCCUACGGGAGGCAGCAGUGGGGAAUAUUGGACAAUGGGCGCAAGCCUGAUCCAGCCAUGCCGCGUGGGUGAAGAAGGCCUUAGGGUUGUAAACCCCUUUCGGCGGGGAAGAUAAUGACGGUACCCGCAGAAGAAGUCCCGGCUAACUCCGUGCCAGCCGCCGCAGUAAGAC
rnacentral:rRNA from 1 species